AGUCCUGAUACCGGAAGUUGUCUAAAGCGUGCAGACGGAAUGCAUUAGAAAUAAUUUAGAUCGAAACCUGUCAUUGAUGGUAAUACAGAUCUGUGAUAAUUAAUGGAAAACCAAGAGAUUAGUAUUUUCUUUAUGUGUUGUCUAAGCUAAGAUGGUUGCUGUGAUGAAAAGUUUGUUUGUGGUAAGUGUUU